AUUAGCUAGUGUGUAUGCAAGAAC
rnacentral:siRNA from 1 species